AUGGAGUCCCUGUCCCAGCUCCUCUGCGGGCUCCUGAUGCUCCUGGUCCCAGGUUCCAGGGGGGAAAUUGUGCUGAGCCAUUCUCCAGCCUCAGUGUCUGUGACCCCAGGAGAGAGAGUCACCAUCAGCUGCAAGGCCAGUCAGAGUGUCAAAGACAGUGAUGGAAACACUUAUCUAGAAUGGUUCCAACAGAAACCUGGACAGUCUCCUCAGAGACUCAUUGAUGGGGGUUCAUACCUGGGCUCAGGAGUCCUGGCCAGGUUCAGUGGCAGUGGGGCUGAGAAGGACUUCACCCUCACCAUCAGCAGUGUGGAGGCUGAAGAUGGGGCCUAUUAUUACUGUUGGCAAGGAACUUCUUUUCCUUUCACAGUGCUACAGCCCCGAACAAACACCUCCCCAGCCCAGACUGGCUGCUCAGGGAGGCUCAGCUGCCUCCUCUGCUUCCUCUCCUCCAGCAGCUGCUGGGCUGCCUGCUCAGGUGCAGGGGCUCUGAUGCUGACUUGGGGAAAGGGACUCGGGGCUCGGGGGAGAGGCCAUGGACUGACAGCUCUGUGUCCUGAGUGUUCUUGUUCCUCCCCAGCCAUGAACUGUAUGUAA